UACGAAGGGGGCGAGCGUUGUUCGGAUUUACUGGGCGUAAAGCGCGCGUAGGCGGACCUGCAAGUCGGGGGUGAAAGCCCGAGGCUCAACCUCGGAACUGCCUUCGAUACUGCGGGUCUCGAGUCCGGGAGAGGUGAGUGGAAUUCCUAGUGUAGAGGUGAAAUUCGUAGAUAUUAGGAAGAACACCAGUGGCGAAGGCGGCUCACUGGCCCGGUACUGACGCUGAGGCGCGAAAGCGUGGGGAGCAAACAGG
rnacentral:rRNA from 1 species